GGAUAGCUCAGUUGGGUAGAGCAGGUGACGUUAAUCAUCGGGUCGCGGGUUCGAAUCCCGCUCCA
rnacentral:tRNA from 3 species